GCAAGUCGAGGGAGAAAUUUGACUUCGGUUAAAUGGAAACCGGCGAACGGGUGAGUAACUCGUACACAACCUACCCUUAACUGGGGGAUAGCCUUGUGAAACUGAGAUUAAUACCUCAUAAUAUUGAUUUAUUACAUCUUAGUUCAAUUAAAGCUCAGGCGGUUAAGGAUGGGUGUGCGUUCCAUUAGCUAGUUGGUGAGGUAACGGCUCACCAAGGCGACGAUGGAUAGGGGGCGUGAGAGCGUGAUC
rnacentral:rRNA from 1 species